GGGUCUGGAGAGGUUGUUUCAGAUAGACCCUAAGCUCAAGAAAGAAAGUCCAAAGCAGUCCAAAAAAAUAAGUAAUGGAAGUAUACGAAAAGACAGAUAAUAAAGAUAGUGAACAGAUAGUAGUACUACAACAAUAUAAUACGAUAGUCGGGAUGUUUUGAACGAGUGUUGAGCGAGUGAAGUGCCCCAUAAAGAAGGGCGAGCUAUAUGUAUGAAUUCCGUGAGCAGCGAUUUCACUUCAGGUUCAGGUGCAUCCAGCAGGAAUUGAACCUACGAAUUCGCCAUAUCGAACUCGAUAAACCCGACUCCUGAGAUAGAGAAAUGCAAUAAGUAUAAGAAACAAGAGAUAGCAACAGAAAUCGAAGGACAAGAAACUACACUAGUAAUAUUACGACUGCUAGUAUAGGCAGACUAACCUUCUUCCUUAAUCCGUAUCCUCCACAACCUCCUACCUAAGGUCAUGUCCUCGUUAAGCUGAAACUGCCUUUAGUGUGAAUCUUUGUACAAAAAAAAUUUCCACCAGACUAACAGUGGGACAGAAGUAAUUACUCUUCUAAUUUAUCAGAGAUUGGCAUUUGACAUGAACAAGAACAUAGAUCACCUUCUUAGGGAACACAUUAAAAAAUAAGCUAAUAACUAAAUUAAAAAGCAGAAAAAGAUGCAUGAAUCUGCACUUAGAAAUGGAAAAGAAGAGAUCAUAUACUACAAACUUGAUUUUUGCUCAUAGUAAUUGCUAGUGUCAGGAAAAAAAGGAAAUGGCUGCUCCCCUGCAACACCAACAUAUAACGAAGGCAUACUAGGUAGGUAAUUGAACAACAAUAUCUCGGAAGCUAAACUGCAUAUUCGAGUAGAUUAUCCAGUUCUCCAUAUUUCAAGACAACGGUGAACCUCAACCACGUAAAUACAUCUAUGACUAACCUGCUGGCCCAGAAAGACAUUACAAGAAUCAUGUAUAGGAAUACACACUUGGGGCAGCAGAAGUUAUAGUAGUUUCAUGUAGUAAAGGCAAUGAAUUCGUAAUUUGUUAUGCUUACCACAUGGCAUGGGAAAUGAUAGACCGUCAGAUACAAUGCUUAUUCCCCGAGUCGAAUCCUUUUGUUGUUUGUAAGGUCUUUUACAAAGCGGUAAGCUGUCAAUGAAUGAAUACAUUAAGAACGCAUAGAUGUGAUAGAUUUCUCACUAAAGCAUACCAGCACUCCUCCAUGAUCAUUAGAUGUCGCAUGAUGUAUCCGUCCAAACAAUAAUCACAGGCACCCAUCAACAGAUGCACAAACUAAUCUUUGAUGAUCAACAAUCGAGUCAGGUAAAAGAACGAACCAUUAUAGUAACCAGUGUUCGCCCAACAAAUUGGGAUAUUCAUGUGCUCUGAUUGAUUAGCCGCAUAGGCAUGAUAUCAGGUUCAAGAUUGAUGAACAUGAAAGUAAGGGUUGAGAUAUAAAAAGGUGUGACCCCACACAGCUGCAUUCAGCAUUAAGGACGGGGUAAAAUGUGGAGCAUGCACAACAGCACAAGAAUUUAGAAUUGAACUCAAGGCCAAGAUUCUUAAAACUACUCUAAUCAUUUCUGUAGCACGGGUUUUGCUCCGAUCCAACAAAAAUACAUCAUUCUUAAAAGUAACAGAAAAGAAGAUAGAUUGUAAUGGAUGUAUGUUUCGUUAUUUUGUUUGGAAAGAUUGCUUAGAUCUAGUUUAUAGCAAUAAACAAAAGAGAAGAUGGAAAUACUAAUAUAUUGGAUUAUUAUCAAGUAACCACAAGACAUAAGUUGUUUUACUUUAAUACUUCGAAACCUUUAGAUGUUUUAAAUUACAAAGGAAAGAAAGAAACCACUUGCAUCUGAAAACAUGUCAGAUUUUUAAACAAGAGGACUGCUGUACCAUAUUGUAAAUUAUCAAAAGUAGGACGUAUAUCCACGAUAUACAUAAUCAGUACCAAUUUGGCCGCAUCACCCAACAUGACAUUACAGAAAAAACAAUUAGAAGUGUUUGAACAAUAUAGUCGAUACUAUUCUAGAAAUGGAAACUAAACCUCUAGAAACAAAAUAUAUAAUCAGUGUUCGACAUGUAAUAUACAGGACUCACUAAUGUCUUCCCCGGAAAAACAGAUAUUGCUCAUACAUAGGUCACUAGAAACUAACUUUUAUCUGGUGAAAACAGUAUCAGCCUGCAUUUGGUGGAACAUAUGGAAGGAGAGAAAUGAAAGGAUUUUCGGAGGCUGAUCAAAUGGAAUUGUAUUAUCUCUCUAUGUUUUUGGUGCAAAGAACAAUGUAAUCACACAGUUUUGGAGGUGGCCAGCAUAUCCUUAAUGCUGAGGAAACAUUAAUUACAAAACUCCUAAGAAGUCCACUAUUUCUACUCCGCAGCAUUAAGGGAUUGUAAACUGUAUUUUUAGCGCCUAUGUGCUUAUUUUUCACUAUUUAACUUGUAUAAUAGAGAUGGUUGUUCAAGAUCAUAGAUAUGACAGCAGAUAUCAUAUCCUCACAAGAUCUUGAAGUCUACAACUUUAAAAAUAGAUUUUUCACAUAAUCACAUGGAAAUAGCAUUGGAGAUCUCAAGAAAUCUUAGUUAUGCUACGCAUUGUGGAGGAGAUUUCCAGGACGAUAUGAACUUAUAGAAUCUUAACUGCACUUGAAGUGGCUUAAGAACCUAAGGUAGCUGGUCCAAUUUUGUUUUUGUUAUUACUUAAUUCCCCACAAUCACAACCAUCACAUUCCCAAAAAGGAAUAUAGUUUGGAGUACUACGAAGAGAAUAUAAAAAACAAAGCAUCAACAAUACCGAAAUCUAUUCCAAGUACUUAUGCAAUAACAACAGCAACAACAACAUACCCAACGAAAUCCCACAAGUUGGGUCUGGGGUGUGUAGAGUGUACACAGUCCUUACCCCUACCUCGUCGAGGUAGAGAGGCUGUUUCUGGAGGAACCUCGGCUCAAACUCAGGACAACUUAUAUAUGACAAUAUAUAGGAUUACUAAGUUUAGUGGUUAUCAGUACACAACCAAAAGACUCGAAAUUAGUAAAACGAAAAUGGCAAGCACCAUACUUUUAUUUUCAAAAUACAUCAAUUUAUGGAGUGCUAAACGUAAAUAGACAUGUGCUAGUUAAGCUCAAUAUUCCUGUUUCAUAUGAAGUGAAGUUUGGGUAAAUACAUACUCACACCGGAUGAUUAUACAAAUCAAGUAUGUUAACCUUAGUAGUUAAGCAUUAGAAUGAGAAUGCAUACAACUUAACCAUGAUUAAUCGCUGAAUGUAAAUAUGAAAGAGACAUGUCUAGCAUUCACUAGUUUGGUGCAAAUACACGGGUAAAAUUUUUACCAUGAUGUUUGUCACAAACAGAUUAGAUUUGCUUUUAAGUUCAACUAACUUAACAACAUUUUGGUGCAGGAAAGUUGACAGAUUGAGUAACCAAAUCAGCCAGGUUAACCAACAAUCUAUUGAUAUAAACAAAAUUGGACAUAGCUUAGUUAGAAAUUUAUUGCUCUCAACGUUUGUCACAAACAGAUUAGAUUUGCUUUUAAGUUCAACUAAACAACAUUUUGGUGCAGGAAAGUUGACAGAUUGAGUAACCAAAUCAGCCAGGUUAACCAACAAUCUAUUGAUAUAAACAAAAUUGGACAUAGCUUAGUUAGAAAUUUAUUGCUCUCAAUGAGUGACGUAUUUAAAGCAAAGUUCAUACUUUCUAAAGAAUUACUGACAGCCAUGAAUAAUUAGGAAAGUCACCCUUCAUAAGGUAAUUAUAAACAUUUAAAUAAAUCUAACCACUUACCAACAUAUCCAUCGGGACUAUAAGAAUCAAACACAAGAAUCGACGAUUUAGAUGACAAUUCAAAGAGUUGAUGAUAAUGUUACCCUUGGACGCGCUCAAAACGUGUUAUGUUAUAUAUUCACAUAAUUCCAAACUAUGGGUGUCAUCUUUGAGGCUAGAUUUAUGCAUCACUUCAUGGCUCUACAUUCAGAAAAAACAGAGUUAUACCAGCUGUAAAGAACUUCAAAGCGUAAGCUGCAAUUUUCAUUCAUUUGAUAGUAUGAUUUUAAAAGCAAUCACUUACUGUCGGUGCCAGGAUAAAACGACGUAGUCCUAUUAAGCUAAGCGUUUUGUUUCUGAUCUAGAUCAGAAUUACCACUAGUACUCUAAGAAAAGUAAAUUAGGAGCUAAAAAAGGGAUAUCGACAAUAGUGAGAGAAGAUGACAACUUAUACAAAAGGAUUGAGGGAGUUAAGAAGCAAUUUGUGAAAUUCUUCUCUUAUGCACUUCUCUUUAAAUACCUAAAUAGAUAUAAACCAUUCGUUGAGCUUCAGUUCUAUAGGAAACAACCUCUCAAUCUUUGAGGUAGAGGUAAGGUCUGAGCGCACUCUACCAUCCCUAGACCCCACUUUGUGGGAUUACACUGGGUAUGAUGUACAUAUAAUCAUUCAAAACUUAAUCUUUAUUAUCGGAAAGAAAAGUUUAACACGUAUGUUUAUGUUCAGAUCCUCCAACAGCAUUGUCGGAGAGAAAAGACAGAACUACAGCUAGCAAGAUGAUACGUUGCAGCACCUUGAGUGCAUGUAGACCGUGUGUCUCUCGCAUAGAAGAACUCUAUUUAAAUGGAUUACUCAAUCUACGACACCACUCCACCUCAUCUCUAUUUACUAUCUUCACCUUCACCACAAUCACACUUCAUCUUUAUUUAAAGCAACAAAACCGGCAUCCUACAGUUCACCACAAUCUCACUCCAUCUCUAUGUCCUUGCAGGGCAAGAUCAUUCCUUUCAACCUAAAGUGCUCUGCUCUCUUACUAAACUCAGAACUCAGGUCCUCCAUAUAGCAGCUCGAGCACAAACCAUGAGAAAUCUCGUUUUCCAAGAUCCUGGGCUCAGAGUAAGCACCAAUACUACUCAAAGUCUAAAUAAUGCUUGGGAGCGAAUACGAGUUCCAGUAGUAGUCCCUGCUCUACACUUUGCAAUGUAUCUAUGCAUAGCGAUGUCCAUCAUGCUCUUUCUUGAGCGUAUUUAUAUGGCAAUAGUGAUAGCAGGGGUCAAGUGCUUCGGAAAGAAAAGAUAUACCAAGUAUAAGCUCGAGUCCAUAAGAGAAGACCUAGAGAAAAACAAAAACUACCCAAUGGUGUUAGUCCAAAUUCCUAUGUUCAACGAAAAGGAGGUACAUACUUUACUUGAGUAUAUGUCUUUUCUGAUCAAGCUCCAGAGAUUUAAACUUAUGCAUACAUGAUUAUUGUUUAGCAUUGUGUUUCAGUUUUCCCUAGAUGAAACUGCGAAUAUGCCUGUUUCCAUCGCUCUUUCUUUUUUCUGAUCAUCAGUUAUAUUUUUUCCAUCUUGAGAGGAAUUUUUAGAGAAUAAAUCACUAACAUUGAAUGAUCUCAAAACUGAAAAAAAUUUAGUUAAUCAGAAAAAGAAAGUACAAUUUCGUUUCUCACAGCCAUCAAUAAUCAAAAACCUAGAAACAACACACAGUGUACACCCAUAUCCGAGUAUCAAGUGAAAGUUCAUGGGAGGAUUUUACCUUCACCGCUAAAGGAGAAAUAUUUGUUCUUCUCUCACCCUUCCCCUUCCCAGCUUCCCCCUUAUCUGGACCAUCCAGCAAAGAACUACAAAAAUGAAAGAAAAAUUACACCAAAUAUAUCAGAGAAAUCUUAAAUAUCCCAAACCAAUAGUUGGACUUUAUUUAUUAAGAUAAAAAAUCUUUUGUCAUGAUAUUUACCUAAACUUUUCUCUGUUGAGUACUG
rnacentral:lncRNA from 1 species